rnacentral:rRNA from 1 species
UAACGAAUCUUCCCCAAUGUACGAAAGUAUGAGGGAGCGACGCUGCGUGGAGGAUGAAGUCCUUCGGGAUGUAAACUCCUGUCAGGGGCUACCAAGUUCUGAGGAGCCCCAGAGGAAGAGGCGGCUAACUCUGUGCCAGCAGCCGCGGUAAGACAGAGGCCUCAAGCGUUAGGCGGAAUCACUGGGCUUAAAGCGUGUGUAGGUGGACUUCUAAGUGCUUUGUGAAAUCCCACGGCUCAACCGUGGAAAUGCUUGGCAUACUGGGAGUCUUGAGCCAUCUAGGGGCAACUGGAACAGACGGUGGAGCGGUGAAAUGCGUAGAUAUCGUCUGGAACGCCAAUGGUGAAGACAGGUUGCUGGGGAUGUGCUGACACUGAGACACGAAAGCCAGGGGAGCAAACG